UGUCUCUUAACUCUCUUUCAUUGCCUUUUGAUGAGCAGAAAUUCUUAAUUUUAAUGUAGUCAAACAUCAAUUUUUUUGUUUAUAGUUAAUGCUUUCUAUGCUUAAGAAAUGCUUUCCUCCUCUAAGUUGAUAUAGAUACUCUACUAUACUGUCUUCUAAAAUCUUUUUUGGCUUUGCCUUCACAGCUCUUGGAUUGGUUUGUUAGUGCUGCCGUCACAAAGGAUACGUGGCCAGUACUCCUUGCAUGGUCAUGCAAAACACAGAAAAAUUGAGAAAGUAUCACAGACCAGAGGAGACUGAGGAAACAUGUCAACAUGGUACCCUACAUUGGAUCCUGGAACAGCAAUGGAAAAAAAUCAGAGAAAUCCAAAUACAGUCUGAAGUUUACUGAACAGUAAUAUGCCAGUGUGACUCGCUUAGUUUAGAAAAUUUACUGUGGUAAUGUAACUGGGUAAGAAGUAUGUAAAUUCCUUGUACUGCCUUUGCAAAUUUUCUGUACAAAAGUCCAUAAAUAAAAACAAAAAAGUAUAUUUUUUGUAAUGUGGUAUUCGUCUCAAAAUAAACAAAUAGACCAAUGAGAAGAAUAGAGAUCCAGAAAUAGACCCAUACACGUAUGGUCAACAGAUUUCCAAAAAAAAGUGACCAAAGCAAUUUCACGUGGACU